AUAUGAAUGGGAGGUCGAUUUUCACUAAAUUUACUCACGAUUUAUUCAGAGUAAUAGGAAAAAUGUCAAAUAUAAGUGUAUCAAUAUUGAGUGUAAUUUUGGUACACUUAUACAUUUUUCCUAGUACUAUUUCCAUAAGUGAUAGAAAAAAUGUCAAAUAUAAGUGUAUCAAUUUGAGUGUAAGAGCUUGUGAGAUCUUCAAUUUUUCGAUUUUUAUGCGAUAGGACUAUUUGGAAAAGAUUUUGGUGGCUGGGACUGUAGUUGUUUUGACAUUAAUGGUGAUGAGGUAUAAGAUACAGGCAUCAAAGUGACAGUUAAGGAGGACUGUUUCCUAUUUCCUCAGUUUAAUCUUCUCAGGUGAGUUUGAAGGUGCCAAAUAACAUAGAUUCCAGGAUUUGGAAAGGCCACACAGGUGUACAGUGAAAUAAUGAAGGAUUUAAAAGUUGUGUUGGAGAGAAAUAGAGUGAGCACAGACAUAAGAUUUCAAGGAAUAAGGAGGAGUAAACCACAGUCAGUGCUACUGGCAACAAGAAAAGAUUGACUCAUGAUAUGAAAGUCCAAGCUGAAGGCGGAGAGGGAAGGCUCUAGAAAAAGCAAUGCAGAACGAAGAAGUCACAUCCGUCACUUUCAAGCCUAGGUGUAUGAGGUGUGGGGGAGGAAAGCACAGGCAUCCCUGAGAAGCCUGUUGGAGAAUCAGCAUCCUCAGGGGAGAUUCGAGUUUCAAUCGGAGCAAGAAGCAUCCCAGAGGCACUUUAACCAAACCCUGGAGAGAGAAGAAAUAAGUAUAUUACUGUGUCGUCUUUGCACAGCAAGAACUUAGCAUCAUCCUCUUGUAUUUUGGAUUUUGUUUCCUAUUUCCUCAGUUUAAUCUUCUCAGCCAUAGGUCAUAAAGAUGGCGAUGGUUAUUUCCUUCCUCAUACCCAUGGUUUGUUACAAUGUGACUUUGCGGUUCUUCCCAUCAGUAAACAGAAGCCAUUUUCUUACUCCUUGCCUCUGGAUGGGCCUUGUGGCUUGCUUUGAGCAAUAGAACGCAUCAGAAGGUGACCUCAUGCCAGUUUCAUGCCUUGGCUUCAGGAGGCCUUGAAUUCUCUGCUGCUCCUUAGGAAUCUUCUGAGCCACUGCUUAACAAGCUCCAACCUCUCCAGCUGGAAGAUGAGGCAUAAUACAGAGGAGAGGCAAACUGUCCUAAAGAGACUACCCUAAGCCAACCAGUCCAGAUGACAGGAGGUUGACCUUGACACAUGUGUAAGCCCAGCCAAGGUCAGCCAAACCUAGUACAGAUCAGAAAAACCAUCUAUCAAUGCUCAGCCCAAAUUUCCAACCCACAGAAAUAUGAAUUAAAUAAAUGAUUGUUGUUUAAACC
rnacentral:lncRNA from 1 species